rnacentral:rRNA from 1 species
GAUGAACGCUGGCGGUAUGCCUAACACAUGCAAGUCGUACGAGAGUUUUUAACUCAAGUGGCGGACGGGUGAGUAACACGUGAGAAUUUACCUUUAGGAGGGGGACAACAACUGGAAACGGUUGCUAAUACCCCAUAUGCUUUCGAGUCAAAUGAAUUUAUUCGCCUAAAGAAAAGCUCGCGGCUGAUUAGCUUGUUGGUAGGGUAAAAGCCUACCAAGGCGACGAUCAGUAUCUGGUUUGAGAGGACGAUCAGACACACUGGAACUGAGACACGGUCCAGACUCCUACGGGAGGCAGCAGUGGGGAAUUUUCCGCAAUGGGCGAAAGCCUGACGGAGCAAUACCGCGUGAGGGAAGACGGCCUAUGGGUUGUAAACCUCUUUUUUCAGGGAGGAAUAAUUGACGUGUACCUGAAGAAUAAGCAUCGGCUAACUCCGUGCCAGCAGCCGCGGUAAGACGGAGGAUGCAAGUGUUAUCCGGAAUCACUGGGCGUAAAGCGUCUGUAGGUUGUUGAACAAGUCAACUGUUAAAUCUUGAGGCUCAACUUCAAAAUCGCAGUCGAAACUGUUUGACUAGAGUAUAGUAGGGGUAAAGGGAAUUUCCAGUGGAGCGGUGAAAUGCGUAGAUAUUGGAAAGAACACCGAUGGCGAAGGCACUUUACUGGGCUAUUACUGACACUCAGAGACGAAAGCUAGGGUAGCAAAUGGGAUUAGAUACCCCAGUAGUCCUAGCCGUAAACAAUGGAUACUAGAUGUUGAACAGAUCGACCUGUGCAGUAUCAAAGCUAACGCGUUAAGUAUCCCGCCUGGGAAGUAUGCUCGCAAGAGUG